rnacentral:rRNA from 1 species
AGGCUUAACACAUGCAAGUCGAGGGGCAGCGCGGGAUAGCAAUAUCCUGGCGGCGACCGGCGGAAGGGUGCGUAACGCGUGAGCGACAUGCCCGUUGCCCGGGGACAACCGGUGGAAACGCCGACUAAUCCCCGAUGGGAUACGAUGCUUCAUGGCAUUGUAUUGAAAGUUACGGCGGCGACGGAUUGGCUCGCGUCCGAUUAGCUUGUUGGCGGGGUAACGGCCCACCAAGGCUACGAUCGGUAGGGGUUCUGAGAGGAAGGCCCCCCACAAUGGGACUGAGACACGGCCCAUACUCCUACGGGAGGCAGCAGUGAGGAAUAUUGGUCAAUGGGCGGAAGUCUGAACCAGCCAUGCCGCGUGCGGGAAGGAGGCCCUAUGGGCUGUGAACCGCUUUUGCCUGGGGGCAAUAAGGGCGUCGCGCACGUCCGAUGAGAGUACCAGGCGAAUAAGCAUCGGCUAACUCCGUGCCAGCAGCCGCGGGAAUACGGGGGAUGCGAGCGUUAUCCGGAUUCAUUGGGUUUAAAGGGUGCGUAGGCUGUGCGUCAAGUCGGGGGUGAAAUUCCGGUGCUCAACACCGGGGCUGCCCUUGAUACUGUCGCGCUGGAGUGCGGAUGCCGCCGGAGGAAUGAGUGGUGUAGCGGUGAAAUGCUUAGAUAUCACUCAGAACACCGAUUGCGAAGGCAUCUGGCGAAUCCGUAACUGACGCUGAGGCACGAAAGCGUGGGGAUAGAACAGGAUUAGAUACCCUGGUAUUCCACGCCGUAAACGAUGAUGGCUAACCGCCGGCGACACACUGUCGGUGGCCAAGCGAAAGCGAUAAGCCAUCCACCUGGGGAGUACGUCGGCAACGAUGAAACUCAAAGGAAUUGACGGGGGCCCGCACAAGCGGAGGAACAUGUGGUUUAAUUCGAUGAUACGCGAGGAACCUUACCCGGGCUCGAACGGCACCUGGAUCACCCAGAGAUGGUUGAGUCUUCGGACAGGUGUCGAGGUGCUGCAUGGUUGUCGUCAGCUCGUGCCGUG